UUAUUUUUUGUGCAUCAGUGCCAGGAUAAUGGAGAGUUUUCUGAGUCAUUAUUGUUGAUUGGAUUUAUUUUAUCCCUUCUUUUUUUUCUAGCUCUAUGACUUCUGGAGAGCUAGAAAAAAAGAGAGACUAUGAGCUAAUAAAGCCUAUGUGCAGAGCUAGCAAAAAGAAAUGCUACGAGCUAAUAAAGCCUUUCUUUUUUCUAGUUCUACUCAACUGCCACUUUAAUAAUAAAGCUUAUAACUUACCAGUCUUAAUAUCUGUUUUAUGCUCCUUGAUUCUAGUAUUCAGGCACUCUUUGUUUCUACAAACUGCUGAACAUUAUAUAGGAAGAUGAUGUGCCUGAAUACUAUAAACGAGGAGCAUAAAACAGUUAAGAUCAGUAAAUUAACUACCACUUUGGCUAAUAAAGCCUAUGAAAAUAACCUAUCCAUAUAUUGGAAUAAUACCAAGAUAGUAAGAACCAUCAAAAAUAAUGUAGGUGGCAACACUGCUAAAGCUUUAGAGCUAUAAAAAAGAAGGGAUAAAAUGGAUUUAAUUAAUAAUGACGACCCAGGGAAUCUGCUGUUGUCCUGGCUCUGGUGCAUAAAAAGUAAUAUGUGAGGCUCUACAUAAUGUGAUGACAG
rnacentral:lncRNA from 1 species